AGUGAACGCUGGCGGUAGGCCUAACACAUGCAAGUCGAACGGCAGCACAGGAGAGCUUGCUCUCUGGGUGGCGAGUGGCGGACGGGUGAGGAAUACAUCGGAAUCUACUCUGUCGUGGGGGAUAACGUAGGGAAACUUACGCUAAUACCGCAUACGACCUACGGGUGAAAGCAGGGGAUCUUCGGACCUCGCGCGAUUGAAUGAGCCGAUGUCGGAUUAGCUAGUUGGCGGGGUAAAGGCCCACCAAGGCGACGACCCGUAGCUGGUCUGAGAGGAUGAUCAGCCACACUGGAACUGAGACACGGUCCAGACUCCUACGGGAGGCAGCAGUGGGGAAUAUUGGACAAUGGGCGCAAGCCUGAUCCAGCCAUACCGCGUGGGUGAAGAAGGCCUUCGGGUUGUAGAGCCCUUUUGUUGGGAAAGAAAUCCAGCUGGCUAAUACCCGGUUGGGAUGACGGUACCCAAAGAAUAAGCACCGGCUAACUUCGUGCCAGCAGCCGCCGUAA
rnacentral:rRNA from 1 species